UUGAUCCUGGCUCAGAAUCAACGCUGGCGGCGUGCCUAACACAUGCAAGUCGAACGAGAAAGUGGAGCAAUCCAUGAGUAAAGUGGCGACCGGGUGAGUUACACGUGACCAAUCUACCCUUGAGUGGGGGAUAACCUCGGGAAACCGGGUCUAAUACCGCAUAAAAUCUCUGGAUCGGAAGAACUGGAGAUCAAAGGAGUAAUUCGCUUAAGGAGGAGGUCGCGGCUGAUUAGCUAGUUGGCGGGGUAAUGGCCCACCAAGGCAAAGAUCGGUAGCCGGCCUGAGAGGGCGCACGGCCAUACUGGAACUGAAACACGGUCCAGACUCCUACGGGAGGCAGCAGUGGGGAUUUUUGCGCAAUGGGGGAAACCCUGACGCAGCAACGCCGCGUGGAGGAUGUAGUCCCUUGGGACGUAAACUCCUUUCGACCCGGACGAUAAUGACGGUACUGGUGGAAGAAGCCCCGGCUAACUUCGUGCCAGCAGCCGCGGUAAUAAGGU
rnacentral:rRNA from 1 species